AAGAUAUUAGUAAAGUGUAUAUUACAUCACCUUGUCAAGAUGAAAUCGUAGGUUAAAUCCCUGCAUAUCUUA
rnacentral:tRNA from 1 species